CUGGCGGCGUGCUAUACAUGCAAGUCGAGCGGACUAAUGGGAGCUUGCUCCCGUUAGUUAGCGGCGGACGGGUGAGUAACACGUGGGCAACCUACCUGUAAGACUGGGAUAACUUCGGGAAACCGGAGCUAAUACCGGAUGACAUAAAGGAACUCCUGUUCCUUUAUUGAAAGAUGGCCUCGGCUAUCACUUACAGAUGGGCCCGCGGCGCAUUAGCUAGUUGGUGAGGUAACGGCUCACCAAGGCGACGAUGCGUAGCCGACCUGAGAGGGUGAUCGGCCACACUGGGACUGAGACACGGCCCAGACUCCUACGGGAGGCAGCAGUAGGGAAUCUUCCGCAAUGGACGAAAGUCUGACGGAGCAACGCCGCGUGAGCGAUGAAGGCCUUCGGGUCGUAAAGCUCUGUUGUUAGGGAAGAAUAAGUGCUAGUUGAAUAAGCUGGCACCUUGACGGUACCUAACCAGAAAGCCACGGCUAACUACGUGCCAGCAGCCGCGGUAAUACGUAGGUGGCAAGCGUUGUCCGGAAUUAUUGGGCGUAAAGCGCGCGCAGGCGGUUUCUUAAGUCUGAUGUGAAAGCCCCCGGCUCAACCGGGGAGGGUCAUUGGAAACUGGGAAACUUGAGUGCAGAAGAGGAAAGUGGAAUUCCAAGUGUAGCGGUGAAAUGCGUAGAGAUUUGGAGGAACACCAGUGGCGAAGGCGACUUUCUGGUCUGUAACUGACGCUGAGGCGCGAAAGCGUGGGGAGCAAACAGGAUUAGAUACCCUGGUAGUCCACGCUGUAAACGAUGAGUGCUAAGUGUUAGAGGGUUUCCGCCCUUUAGUGCUGAAGUUAACGCAUUAAGCACUCCGCCUGGGGAGUACGGUCGCAAGACUGAAACUCAAAGGAAUUGACGGGGGUCCGCACAAGUGGUGGAGCAUGUGGUUUAAUUCGAAGCAACGCGAAGAACCUUACCAGGUCUUGACAUCCUCUGACAACCCUAGAGAUAGGGCUUUCCCUUCGGGGACAGAGUGACAGGUGGUGCAUGGUUGUCGUCAGCUCGUGUCGUGAGAUGUUGGGUUAAGUCCCGCAACGAGCGCAACCCUUGAUCUUAGUUGCCAGCAUUUAGUUGGGCACUCUAAGGUGACUGCCGGUGACAAACCGGAGGAAGGUGGGGAUGACGUCAAAUCAUCAUGCCCCUUAUGACCUGGGCUACACACGUGCUACAAUGGAU
rnacentral:rRNA from 2 species